rnacentral:tRNA from 1 species
GUUGAUAUAGCUCAAUAGGAUAGAGCCGUACACUUCUAAUGUACUGGUUGUAGGUUCAAGUCCUGCUAUCAACU